AUGAACGCUGGCGGCGUGCCUCAUCCCUGCCGGUCGCGCGAACGGACGAGAAGCUUGCUUCUCUGAUGUUAGCGGCGGACGGGUGAGUAACACGUGGAUAACCUACCUAUAAGACUGGGAUAACUUCGGGAAACCGGAGCUAAUACCGGAUAAUAUUUUGAACCGCAUGGUUCAAAAGUGAAAGACGGUCUUGCUGUCACUUAUAGAUGGAUCCGCGCUGCAUUAGCUAGUUGGUAAGGUAACGGCUUACCAAGGCAACGAUGCAUAGCCGACCUGAGAGGGUGAUCGGCCACACUGGAACUGAGACACGGUCCAGACUCCUACGGGAGGCAGCAGUAGGGAAUCUUCCGCAAUGGGCGAAAGCCUGACGGAGCAACGCCGCGUGAGUGAUGAAGGUCUUCGGAUCGUAAAACUCUGUUAUUAGGGAAGAACAUAUGUGUAAGUAACUGUGCACAUCUUGACGGUACCUAAUCAGAAAGCCACGGCUAACUACGUG
rnacentral:rRNA from 1 species